rnacentral:sRNA from 1 species
GCUGGGUGUGGUGGCACACACCUGUAAUCCCAGUGGCUGGGGAGGCUGAGAGAGGAGGAUCCGUGGGUUCAAAGCCAGCCUCAGCAACAGUAAGGCACUAAGCUACUCAGUGAGACCCUGUCUCUA